rnacentral:lncRNA from 1 species
CUGUAUACAAACAUUGUUGUAAAUGGGAUUGGUAAAUUCUCCUUUGGUUAGUCAAUAGGAGCAGACUAUCCAUGGACAGAGAAGUACUACAUAUGGAGUCAUACAAAGAUUUUCGUAUGAAGAACAAAAUUAUUGGAUAUCACAUGAGGAAUUUGAAGUGCGGUUGAAGAGGAACCGAAGAAUAUAGACAACCACACUCAAAAACCCUAUAAAGUUAGAGAAUAAGGAGACUAUGAAUAGAAGAUAUGAAAGAAAUUGCUGGAGAGAGGGAACUGAGAAGAUGAAAAGUGAUCAUAGGUGCUGACAGGAUCAACGAGAUGGGCUCCUUUGUAACUUUGGAUCUUCAGUCCCUGAUGAAGCUUAUUGAGACUUGUCAUAAUUGCAAUUCAGGUAAAUUAAUAAUCUCUCUCACUC